UAUGCAACCUACCUUUAACAGAGGGAUAGCCCCGAGAAAUCGGGAUUAAUACCACAUAACAUUACCUUAUCACAUGAUAAGAUAAUUAAAGCUUUGGCGGUUAAAGAUGGGCAUGCGUGACAUUAGCUAGUUGGUGAGGUAACAGCUCACCAAGGCAUUGAUGUCUAGGGGUUCUGAGAGGAUGAUCCCCCACACUGGUACUGAGACACGGACCAGACUCCUACGGGAGGCAGCAGUAAGGAAUAUUGCGCAAUGGAGGCAACUCUGACGCAGCCAUGCCGCGUGAAGGAAGAAGGCCUUAUGGGUCGUAAACUUCUUUUAUUUAGGAAUAAACCCUCUGACGAGUCAGAGGUUGAAGGUACUAAACGAAUAAGCACCGGCUAACUCCGUGCCAGCAGCCGCGGUAAUACGGAGGGUGCAAGCGUUAUCCGGAUUUAUUGGGUUUAAAGGGUGCGUAGGCGGAUCUAUAAGUCAGUGGUGAAAUCCCGGGGCUCANCCCCGGCACUGCCAUUGAUACUGUANGUCUUGAAUACGGUUGAAGUAGGCGG
rnacentral:rRNA from 1 species